rnacentral:misc_RNA from 1 species
GAUGAAGAACGCAGUAAAAUGCGAUAAGUAAUGUGAAUUGCAGAAUUCAGUGAAUCAUCGAAUCUUUGAACGCACAUUGCGCCCGCCAGUAUUCUGGCGGGCAUGCCUGUUCGAGCGUCAUUUCAACCCUCAAGCACAGCUUGGUGUUGGGACUCGCGUUAAUUCGCGUUCCCCAAAUUGAUUGGCGGUCACGUCGAGCUUCCAUAGCGUAGUAGUAAAACCCUCGUUACUGGUAAUCGUCGCGGCCACGCCGUUAAACCCCAACUUCUGAAUGUUGACCUCGGAUCAGGUAGGAAUACCCGCUGAACUUAAGCAUAUCAAUAAGCGGAGGA